AUGUGAGUGGUGCUUGCAGUGGCAAAUCUCUGCGCCCUGUAGCCACCCAUGAUGCCUGUUUGAUAUUGUGGAGCCGUGAUAUAAGUUCUUUAUAUUGCUAUAUGGUUGCUAGGGCGCUCUAUAUGGUUGCUAUGGUGUGCCUAUAUAGUUCAUAUAGUGAUAUUUAAAGAUGAUUUACCAGCCUGAUUCCAAAAAGCCCAAGACAGUGUUUCUAUAUGGUUAUUUUGAUGAUAUAUAGCUUUUAAAUGUUGUUAAACAGUUGCUAGGGUGCUAAAAUUGGUUGCUAUGGCGUGGCUAUGAAGUUGUUAUGUCACUACUUAUGGACUGCUUGAUAGGCCGAGUCAAAAGAGCCCUCUCCCAAGCCUCUAUGACUUUCUGAUCCAAAGAUAUGAUGUCAGAUAAUUUUUCCAAUGUUAAGUCAAUGGGAUAUUUUCACACAUUUUCUUCGCCCGCUGUACGAUUAUCGUAAGUCCGAUUGCUUAGAAAAGUCAUAGCACACCUCUCCUCAAUAUCCUGCACGAUUUGACACCUCAUUCAUGGGUCUGUGACAAAAAAUGCGGGAGGAGUAGCGUGCCAAAGUUUUGUCAAGGCGAAUAGUAAUAGUAACACUAGAAGGUACAUUUCCUGAAGAAAAUGUGAGUGGUGCUUGCAGUGGCAAAACUCGCCCCUCUGUUGCUAGGGUGUGGUUGCUAGGGUACCCGGGUGGUUGCUAGGGCGGUUGCUAGGGUCCCUAUGAUGGUUGCUAGGGCCGUUGCUAGGGUACCCAGGGUGGUUGCUAGGGUAAUUGGGGCGGUUGCUAGGGUGUUGCUAUGUGGUUGCUAGGGUAACCGGGGUGGUUGCUAGGGCGGUUGCUAUGGUAACCUGGGUGGUUGCUAGGCAGUUGCUACGGUACUUGGGGUGGUUGCUAAGGUGUUGCUAGGCGGUUGCUAGGGUGUUUUGGCUGGUUGCUAGGCAGUUGCUAUGGUCUCCUGGGUGGUUGCUAUGAUGUUACUAGGUGGUUGGUAGUUGUCACAGAUGGUCACUAUGUAGUUAUUAUAGAGUUCUUAGCCCAUUUGAGCACUUAGCUAAUCACUAUUAGCAUGUAGCUAAUCACUGCUAGCAUGACUAGCAUGUUGGAAGUCCAGUGUGCUAGCAUGAGUCAAAAAAUCCAACCGCCAUGUCUGUACGAUGUUCUGAUGCAGAGAUAUAGGUCGUGCAAAACGGUUGCUAGGGUACUCCAUUUGGUUGCUAUGGAGUGGCUUGGCAACUGCCAAUGGUGAUACUACAAAGGCUGCUCGUCAAUAUAAACCAACCCCCAUGCCUCUACGAUGUUCUGAUGCAGAGAUAUAGAUCUUGCAAAACGGUUGCUAGGGUACUGUGUUUGGUUGCUAGGGAGUGGCCUGGCAGCUGCCAAUGAUGAUACUCCAUUGGUUGCUUGCUAAUAUAAACCAACCCCCAUGCUUCUAUGUCUUUCAGAUGUUAAGAUAUCUAUCUUUGGAUUUUGGUUGCUAGGUAGCUCUUAAUGGUUGCUAGGGCGUGGCUAGGUUGUCUUGAAGGAGAUACAUGAUUGGCCGUUUGCUGCCCGAGUCAAACGAGCCCACCCUCAUGUUUCUAUGACACUUCUAUCCAAAGUUAUUAAUUUUAUAUUUUUCUAUGGAAGUCUAUGGAGCUUGUUGCUAUGGUGCUCUAUAUGGUUGCUAGGGCGUGGCUUGAUAGCUUCAUAAUGAUCACGAGAGUCUGAUUGGUUGCCUGAUUCAAAUGAGCCCACCCCCUUGUCUUUAUGACUAUGUGAUCCAUAGUUAUGCUCAAUGCAAUAUCCCUAUGUAAUUUCCCACAGUAGGAAAAAUACAUUGUUUCAUGGGCGAUCCCUCACCAUUGGCUUAGUAUGGGGCAACUUUGGGGGGCUCUUGCGCCCCAGGGGUAAAACUUAUACCCCAUUGCGGGGUAUGAUCGCGUCCAGCCUGAUAGCCUCUCCAAAUGUGGUGAUUCGCGUGUUUCUGCGAUAUUCUCUCUCGGAGCUACGUUCCGUCAAAGUUGGCCGUAAUGCAUUGUCUAUGGGAUUUUUCGCCCGAUUUUUCGCCCGGUGUACGAACAUCGUACGCCCGAUCGCUUAUAAAAGUCAUAGCACACCAUUCCCGUAUAGGCCGCACGAUUUGACGCCUGUUUCGUUGGUCUGUGACAAAAUCUGCGGGACUAGUUACGUGCCGAAAUUUUGGCGGAAGAAGUAAGAAGAAGAAGAAGAAGAAGAAUAAUAAGUAUGUGAGAUAAUAAUAGUGAUGCUUUGCCUCCGGCAAGCACCACUAAUAAUAAGUAUGUGAGAUAAUAAUAGUGAUGCUUUGCCUACGGCAAGCACCACUAACUAGAAGGUACAUUUCCUGAAGAAAAUGUGAGUGGUGCUUGCAGUGGCAAAACUCGCCCCUCUGUUGCUAAGGUGUGGUUGCUAGGGUACCCGGGGUGGUUGCUAGGGUCCCUAUGAUGGUUGCUAGGGCCGUUGCUAGGGUACCCAGGGUGGUUGCUAGGGUAAUCGGGGUGGUUGCUAGGGUGUUGCUAUGUGGUUGCUAGGGUACCCGGGGUGGUUGCUAGGGCGGUUGCUAGGGUCCCCAUGAUGGUUGCUAGGGCCGUUGCUAGGGUACCCAGGUUGGUUGCUAGGGUAAUCGGGGUGGUUGCUAGGGUGUUGCUAUGUGGUUGCUAGGGUACCCGGGGUGGUUGCUAGGGUGGUUGCUAGGGUCCCCAUGAUGGUUGCUAGGGCCGUUGCUAGGGUACCCAGGUUGGUUGCUAGGGUAAUCGGGGUGGUUGCUAGGGUGUUGCUAUGUGGUUGCUAGGGUACCCGGGGUGGUUGCUAGGGCGGUUGCUAGGGUCCCCAUGAUGGUUGCUAGGGCCGUUGCUAGGGUACCCAGGGUGGUUGCUAGGGUAAUCGGGGUGGUUGCUAAGGUGUUGCUAGGCGGUUGCUAGGGUACCCGGGGUGGUUGCUAGGCAGUUGCUAUGGUCUCCUGGGUGGUUGCUAUGAUGUUACUAGGUGGUUGGUAGUUGUCACAGAUGGUCACUAUGUAGUUAUUAUAGAGUUCUUAGCCCAUUUGAGCACUUAGCUAAUCACUAUUAGCAUGUAGCUAAUCACUGCUAGCAUGACUAGCAUGUUGGAAGUCCAGUGUGCUAGCAUGAGUCAAAAAAUCCAACCGCCAUGUCUGUACGAUGUUCUGAUGCAGAGAUAUAGGUCGUGCAAAACGGUUGCUAGGGUACUCCAUUUGGUUGCUAUGGAGUGGCUUGGCAGCUGCCAAUGGUGAUACUCCAAAGGCUGCUCGUCAAUAUAAACCAACCCCCAUGCCUCUACGAUGUUCUGAUGCAGAGAUAUAGAUCUUGCAAAACGGUUGCUAGGGUACUGUGUUUGGUUGCUAGGGAGUGGCCUGGCAGCUGCCAAUGAUGAUACUCCAUUGGUUGCUUGCUAAUAUAAACCAACCCCCAUGCUUCUAUGUCUUUCAGAUGUUAAGAUAUCUAUCUUUGGAUUUUGGUUGCCAGGUAGCUCUUAAUGGUUGCUAGGGCGUGGCUAGGUUGUCAUGAAGGAGAUACAUGAUUGGCCGUUUGCUUCCCGAGUCAAACGAGCCCACCCUCAUGUUUCUAUGACACUUCUAUCCAAAGUUAUUCAUUUGAUCUUUUUCAGUGGAAGUCUAUGGGGCUUGUUGCUAUGGCGCUCUAUAUGGUUGCUAGGGCGUGGCUUGAUAACUUCACAGUGAUCCUGAGAGACUGAUUGGUUGCCUGAUUAAUAUGAGCCCACCCCCUUGUCUCUAUGACACUGUAAUCCAGAGUUAUGUUCAAUGCAAAAUCCCUAUGUAAUUUCCCAUAGUAGCCCUCCCUAUACUUUGUAUUAGGGGCAAAUUUGGGGGGCUGUUGCGCCCCAGG